rnacentral:rRNA from 1 species
AGACCCGAAACCCGGUGAUCUAGCCAUGGGCAGGUUGAAGGUUGGGUAACACUAACUGGAGGACCGAACCGACUAAUGUUGAAAAAUUAGCGGAUGACCUGUGGCUGGGGGUGAAAGGCCAAUCAAACCGGGAGAUAGCUGGUUCUCCCCGAAAGCUAUUUAGGUAGCGCCUCGUGAAUUCAUCUCCGGGGGUAGAGCACUGUUUCGGCUAGGGGGCCAUCCCGGCUUACCAACCCGAUGCAAACUGCGAAUACCGGAGAAUGUUAUCACGGGAGACACACGGCGGGUGCUAACGUCCGUCGUGAAGAGGGAAACAACCCAGACCGCCAGCUAAGGUCCCAAAGUCAUGGUUAAGUGGGAAACGAUGUGGGAAGGCCCAGACAGCCAGGAUGUUGGCUUAGAAGCAGCCAUCAUUUAAAGAAAGCGUAAUAGCUCACUGGUCGAGUCGGCCUGCGCGGAAGAUGUAACGGGGCUAAACCAUGCACCGAAGCUGCGGCAGCGAACGUAUCACCCAAGACAACUUUACGGAGUUGACGAUUGACGGAGCGAAGCGACGUCAAAGCGUUCAUUAAAGUCGAGUUGGCUUAGGGAUACGUUCGUUGGGUAGGGGAGCGUUCUGUAAGCCUGUGAAGGUGGCCUGUGAGGGUUGCUGGAGGUAUCAGAAGUGCGAAUGCUGACAUAAGUAACGAUAAAGCGGGU